UUAUGUGAACAGAAAGAGGUGCAGAGUAAAAAGACCUUCGUACAUCUCUGAGAAGACCUACAAAAGCUUACCUUGUGAGUCUUGAAGGACUGCUAAUAAGACCCUAAUGGAAUGGCCCCAGGGGACCUUGGAAGGCCUGGAGACAUUUUUUAUUGUCAAAAUUGAGGGCAAGUGGAGGGCAGUGACUGGAAGGGAAGGUGGGUGUGCUUCACUGACGUCUAGUGGGUGGAAGCCAUGGAAACCAAAGACCAUCGUACAGUGCACAGUACAGCCUCCAGAGCAAAGAAACAUCUGGCCCUAUAGGUCAGCAGUGCAGAGGCUGAGAAACCCCGGCCUAAGUGUAUUGGAGACAAAACCUCCAUCCCACCCCGGACCCUCCCCCUUCAGGCAUCUCAAUGGUGUCCUGCAAUGCACAGGUAGGGAAACACUGCCUUUGCACUCAGCUCUGAAGGGGAUGAGAACAUGCCAGUGUAAUGUGAAAUAUGUAAAGUGUCUGCGUGGGCAAAUCUUCCCUCAAGACCACCGAGGAAUCACCUUCUCCCCAGCAGGCUCCUCUCUGGGAUCCUCUUUCAUGCUUCCGAAACAUCAUCAAGCCCCUAUGGUAGCACCAUUUCCUCAGUCCGUGAGCUUUCUCAAAGACACAGCUCCUGCCCUCUCCAUCUCACUGGCAUGCAGUGCAGACUUCACCUCCAAAUAUGUGAAUGAGGCUCUGAGCCCUGAAGGAUUUGGAGAAGGCAUGGCAACGAAUUCCGAUGAAACCUAACAACUGGUUAAGCCAGUAUUAAGGGCUGCAGAACACAAGAUCUCAUAACUCAAUGCCCCAUAUCCUCAAAACAAAACAAAACCAACUGGGAGGUGAGGGACUGUGCUUGAAGAAGCGGAGGAGUUCUGUGUGUGGAAGAGACUGGAAGAAGAGAAUGUUCACAGUAGGUAGCUAGUGGGGUGGGAGCAGGGCAGGCGAGGGCUCCCCUCCACACACCCGGGAUGUUGGGCCACCAUCAAGUGAGGGUCAGGCGGUUGUUAACUGUUUCUCUAAACUGAUAACGGGUUGCAGCCAGCACCAGGGAAAGGCAGUCUCCUAAUAGAUAGCACGUCAGCCUCCCAAAGUGCUGGGAUUACACCUCAGUCGAACUCCUUCUGAGGAGGGGGCAACAACU
rnacentral:lncRNA from 1 species